CAAUAUGACUUCGGCCACUUGUUGGGUAACCCCCCUCGCCGAUCGCCCUACUAAGAGGGCGUCCGAGGCAACAUUCAGGCUCCCCCUGAGCAGCGUAAGAAUCUUAGGGGACUUAAGCUGAUCCAUCUUCAUCUCAGAAGCUGCAAAAAAUCCAAAAUCGGGGCAACUCAUAAUGAUUCUCAGUAAAAAUCACAAAAGCAAGACCAAAAUAGACCUCCAUGAGAGACAAAGUAAUAAAAUGUUCGGCUCGCCUUGACCAGUCCGAAUAAGACAUCGAACAAACACCCUGUGGACGUAAAACCCCCGCUCAGACAGAUAGAUUCGGAAGAAAACAUGAAAAGAACGAAAUUAGGGAUCAACAUUUGAGAAGCAAUCUCGAAAUAUUAGAAAAACCCCGUGAAAGAAAGGAGAUAAGGGAAAGGGUAUACCAUACUCUUUCUGUUUAACAGAGAAAACUGAGCGCACGUCUUUCUGAGGAUCGAUUAUACUGGAGGUAUGUGGAUCGGGAAGGGAGAUCCUCUCAUUCCGGUGAGGGUCCCGAAGGUGAAAAGGGAGGUGAUAUCAAGAUACACCCUGAGAAUGAGGUUUUUAUACCGAACAGAGUGAUGCUAGACUCUAGGAUAGCGGUACCAGGAUCCUUAAAAGCUAUUCAUGGAAAAGGAAGAAAAGCGUGCCUUGAAGAUAAAAGCAGGGAAAUGAAGAUGGCAGAGUGCACAAAGAACAGAGGAAAUCCAGAAGUAGAAAAAGACAGAGAGGAUUCGAAAGUCAAAACGACAAUUAGGUGAAAGGGCGUUAUGAGGCAAGCUGUAUAUCAACAGGCGCGGUCAUAAUGAUUCUUGGUAUUUACCCCCUCAUCAGUUGGGCAAUAACUGACGAGAAGGUAAAGGGGC
rnacentral:lncRNA from 1 species